AGAGUUUGAUCAUGGCUCAGAUUGAACGCUGGCGGCAGGCCUAACACAUGCAAGUCGAACGGUAACAGGAAGCAGCUUGCUGCUUUGCUGACGAGUGGCGGACGGGUGAGUAAUGUCUGGGAAACUGCCUGAUGGAGGGGGAUAACUACUGGAAACGGUAGCUAAUACCGCAUAACGUCGCAAGACCAAAGAGGGGGACCUUCGGGCCUCUUGCCAUCGGAUGUGCCCAGAUGGGAUUAGCUUGUUGGUGGGGUAACGGCUCACCAAGGCGACGAUCCCUAGCUGGUCUGAGAGGAUGACCAGCCACACUGGAACUGAGACACGGUCCAGACUCCUACGGGAGGCAGCAGUGGGGAAUAUUGCACAAUGGGCGCAAGCCUGAUGCAGCCAUGCCGCGUGUAUGAAGAAGGCCUUCGGGUUGUAAAGUACUUUCAGCGGGGAGGAAGGGAGUAAAGUUAAUACCUUUACUCAUUGACGUUACCCGCAGAAGAAGCACCGGCUAACUCCGUGCCAGCAGCCGCGGUAAUACGGAGGGUGCAAGCGUUAAUCGGAAUUACUGGGCGUAAAGCGCACGCAGGCGGUUUGUUAAGUCAGAUGUGAAAUCCCCGGGCUCAACCUGGGAACUGCAUCUGAUACUGGCAAGCUUGAGUCUCGUAGAGGGGGGUAGAAUUCCAGGUGUAGCGGUGAAAUGCGUAGAGAUCUGGAGGAAUACCGGUGGCGAAGGCGGCCCCCUGGACGAAGACUGACGCUCAGGUGCGAAAGCGUGGGGAGCAAACAGGAUUAGAUACCCUGGUAGUCCACGCCGUAAACGAUGUCGACUUGGAGGUUGUGCCCUUGAGGCGUGGCUUCCGGAGCUAACGCGUUAAGUCGACCGCCUGGGGAGUACGGCCGCAAGGUUAAAACUCAAAUGAAUUGACGGGGGCCCGCACAAGCGGUGGAGCAUGUGGUUUAAUUCGAUGCAACGCGAAGAACCUUACCUGGUCUUGACAUCCACGGAAGUUUUCAGAGAUGAGAAUGUGCCUUCGGGAACCGUGAGACAGGUGCUGCAUGGCUGUCGUCAGCUCGUGUUGUGAAAUGUUGGGUUAAGUCCCGCAACGAGCGCAACCCUUAUCCUUUGUUGCCAGCGGUCCGGCCGGGAACUCAAAGGAGACUGCCAGUGAUAAACUGGAGGAAGGUGGGGAUGACGUCAAGUCAUCAUGGCCCUUACGACCAGGGCUACACACGUGCUACAAUGGCGCAUACAAAGAGAAGCGACCUCGCGAGAGCAAGCGGACCUCAUAAAGUGCGUCGUAGUCCGGAUUGGAGUCUGCAACUCGACUCCAUGAAGUCGGAAUCGCUAGUAAUCGUGGAUCAGAAUGCCACGGUGAAUACGUUCCCGGGCCUUGUACACACCGCCCGUCACACCAUGGGAGUGGGUUGCAAAAGAAGUAGGUAGCUUAACCUUCGGGAGGGCGCUUACCACUUUGUGAUUCAUGACUGGGGUGAAGUCGUAACAAGGUAACCGUAGGGGAACCUGCGGUUG
rnacentral:rRNA from 4 species